GUUGACCUCGGAUCAGGUAGGGCUUACCCGCUGAACUUAAGCAUAUCAAUAAGCGGAGGAAAAGAAACCAACGGGGAUUGCCCCAGUAACGGCGAGUGAAGCGGCAACAGCUCAAAUUUGAAAUCUGGCCCCCCCCCCAAGCCUCUGUGAGGCUCUUCGACGAGUCGAGUAGUUUGGGAAUGCUGCUCAAAACGGGAGGUAUAUGUCUUCUAAAGCUAAACACCGGCCAGAGACCGAUAGCGCACAAGUAGAGUGAUCGAAAGAUGAAAAGCACUUUGAAAAGAGGGUUCAACAGUACGUGAAAUUGUUGAAAGGGAAGCGCCUGCGACCAGACUUCGGGCCCGGCGGAUCACCCGGCGCUCCUCGCCGGUGCACUCCGCCGGCGCCCGGGCCAGCAUCGGCUCGCCGCGGGGGAUAAAGGCGGCGGGAACGUGGCCCCUCCGGGGGGGUGUUAUAGCCCGCCGCGCCAAGGCCCCGCGCCGCGGGCCGAGGACCGCGCCCCAGGGCAAGGAUGCUGGCGUAAUGGUCGCCGGCGACCCGUCUUGAAACACGGACCAAGGAGUCGUCUUCGUAUGCGAGUGUUUGGGCGUCAAACCCCUACGCGCAAUGAAAGUGAACGGCUGGUGAGAGCCCUCGCGGUCGCAUCACCGACCGAUCCUGAUGUUUUUUCUCGGAUGGAUUUGAGUAAGAGCAUACGGGGCCGGACCCGAAAGAAGGUGAACUAUGCCUGUGUAGGGUGAAGCCAGGGGAAACUCUGGCGGAGGCUCGCAGCGGUUCUGACGUGCAAAUCGAUCGUCAAACAUGGGCAUGGGGGCGAAAGACUAAUCGAACCUUCUAGUAGC
rnacentral:rRNA from 1 species